rnacentral:rRNA from 1 species
AUACGUAGGGGGCGAGCGUUGUCCGGAAUGAUUGGGCGUAAAGGGCGCGUAGGCGGCCUGUUAAGUCUGGAGUGAAAGUCCUGUUUUCAAGAUGGGAAUUGCUUUGGAUACUGAUGGGCUUGAGUGCAGGAGAGGUUAUCGGAAUUCCCGGUGUAGCGGUGAAAUGCGUAGAGAUCGGGAGGAACACCAGUGGCGAAGGCGGGUAACUGGACUGUAACUGACGCUGAGGCGCGAAAGUGUGGGGAGCAAACAGGAUUAGAUACCCUGGUAGUCCACACUGUAAACGAUGAAUGCUAGGUGUUGGGGGUAUCGACCCCUUCUGUGCCGCAGUCAACACAAUAAGCAUUCCGCCUGGGGAGUACGGCCGCAAGGUUGAAACUCAAAUGAAUUGGCGGGG